rnacentral:lncRNA from 1 species
AAACAACAUACUUUUCAUAUAUUUAUACCAAAACAGUGGAUCAAUCAGAGGAAACAGAAUCAUAGCAUCGUACACAUUUCUUCAUUAACUUUCCACAGACAGAAUGAAAUAGAAUACCAGAGAGAAAUAGAACGAUGAAGAUUAUAAACCAAUCAAACGAACAAUGUUUUCGACUAUUAUUAUGAUUAGACAACUUCUGCAUACAAUAAGAAUUUUUUUAUCAGAAAAUAGAUAGCCACGUGAAUACCUCUGAGUACAAAAUGAACAUGAAGAAUAUGCAGAAAAGAUUAUCAUAAUCUGU